CCCUUAGACGUUCUGGGCCGCACGCGCGCUACACUGACGAAGGCAACGAGCUACUCUUCACCGAAAGGUGUGGGUAAUCUUUUGAAACUUCGUCGUGCUGGGGAUAGAUCCUUGCAAUUUUUGAUCUUAAACGAGGAAUUCCUAGUAAGCGCAAGUCAUCAACUUGCGUUGAUUACGUCCCUGCCCUUUGUACACACCGCCCGUCGCUACUACCGAUUGAAUGGUUUAGUGAGGCCUUCGGAUCCGCGAUUUUAUUGUGGAGAAGUUGGACAAACUCAGUCAUUUAGAGGAAGUAAAAGUCGUAACA
rnacentral:rRNA from 1 species